rnacentral:rRNA from 1 species
GAUGAACGCUGGCGGCGUGCCUAAUACAUGCAAGUCGAGCGAACAGACUAGGAGCUUGCUCCUCUGACGUUAGCGGCGGACGGGUGAGUAACACGUGGAUAACCUACCUAUAAGACUUGGAUAACUUCGGGAAACCGGAGCUAAUACCGGAUAAUAUAUUGAACCGCAUGGUUCAAUAGUCAAAGACGGUUUUGCUGACACUUAUAGAUGGAUCCUCGCCGCAUUAGCUAGUUGGUAAGUUAACGGCUUACCAAGGCCACAAUGAGUAGCCGACAUGAGAGGGUGGUCGGCCACACUAGAACUGAGACACGGUGCAGACACCUACGGGAGGCAGCAGUAGGGAAUCUUCCGCAAUGGGGGAAAGCCUGACGGAGCAACGCCGGGUGAGUGAUGAAGGUCUUCGGAUCGUAAAGCUCUGUUAUUAGGGAAGAACAAAUGUGUAAGUAACUAUGCACGUCUUGACGGUACCUAAUCAGAAAGCCACGGCUAACUACGUG